AGAACGAACGCUGGCGGCAUGCCUAAUACAUGCAAGUCGAACGAACUCUUCGGAGUUAGUGGCGCACGGGUGCGUAACGCGUGGGAAUCUGCCCUUGGUUCGGAAUAACAGUUGGAAACGACUGCUAACACCGGAUGAUGACGAAAGUCCAAAGAUUUAUCGCCAAGGGAUGAGCCCGCGUAGGAUUAGCUAGUUGGUGAGGUAAAGGCUCACCAAGGCAACGAUCCUUAGCUGGUCUGAGAGGAUGAUCAGCCACACUGGGACUGAGACACGGCCCAGACUCCUACGGGAGCAGCAGUAGGGAAUAGUUGGACAA
rnacentral:rRNA from 1 species